GAAAUGUGUUACUGAAGAGGCUGCCAGCCUGCCAGGUGAAUAUAAGUUCCCUUAAGGCAGGGGAAUGGUCUGCCAUGUUCCCCUCUGUACCGAAAACAUCUAGAAGAGAGCCUCAUACACGUUUGCAAGCAUGAGACAGGACUGCACUUCCUAGCUCCACUGUAGCCAGGAGACAUAUUGAAGGACGUAGCCUUGAGAGAGCAACGUGUUGUUGAGACCAUCUGGACGUAUACAUGACUGAACCCAGUUAAGGCCUCUAUGUAAACUUUUAAGAUUCUGGCGGGCAGAUGUGGAGAUCUACUCAUUUUGCUGCUGCCCAAGGCAAGCGUGGAAUGUUCUUACUGCUCUGCAGACAUCAUCUAGCCUGAGCUGGAGGUUACCAUGGUGAUAUGGCCAUACAGAUGACUUCAAGACUACAUCUUGCUGAGUUGUUUUCAGGGAGAAUUGAGAACUGUUGUCUUCUGUUCAUAGGCUCUACUUAAACUUGACCCUCCCUGCCAUUUCUUCUAAGAAUAAUUAAAGAAUUUUGCUGUUGGUGGA
rnacentral:lncRNA from 1 species